UCACCUGUUUUUCAAAAACAUGUCUUAAAGAUUUUAAUUUUAAGUCAAAUCUGCUCAAUGAAAUAUUUUAAAUAGCUGCAGUAUCUUUAACUGUACUAAGGUAGCAUAAUAAAUAGUUUUUUAAUUAAAAACUUGAAUGAAAGAUUUAAUGAAAUAUAAACUGUCUCAAAUUUAAUAAAUAAAAUUAUUAUUUAAAUUAAAAAACUUAAAUAAUUUUUAAAGACGAAAAGACCCUAAAGAAUUUUUAUAAUUAAAUUUUAAAAAAUUAAAAUUUAAUUAAUUUAAUUGGGGAAAUUUUAAAAUUUAAUUAAUUUUUAAUAAAUCAAAACAAUUAUUUUUGAAUUUAAAAUCUUUUUUUAAAAAAAAAAAUUAAAUUACCUUAGGGAUAACAGCAUAAUUUUUUUUUAAAGUUCAUAUUUAUAAAAAAGCUUAUGACCUCG
rnacentral:rRNA from 1 species